rnacentral:rRNA from 1 species
GUGGGGAAUCUUGCGCAAUGGGCGAAAGCCUGACGCAGCCAUGCCGCGUGAAUGAUGAAGGUCUUAGGAUUGUAAAAUUCUUUCACCGGGGACGAUAAUGACGGUACCCGGAGAAGAAGCUCCGGCUAACUUCGUGCCAGCAGCCGCGGUAAUACGAAGGGGGCUAGCGUUGCUCGGAAUUACUGGGCGUAAAGGGCGCGUAGGCGGACAGCUUAGUCAGAGGUGAAAGCCCAGGGCUCAACCUUGGAAUUGCCUUUGAUACUGGCUGUCUUGAGUUUGGGAGAGGUGAGUGGAACUCCGAGUGUAGAGGUGAAAUUCGUAGAUAUUCGGAAGAACACCAGUGGCGAAGGCGACUCACUGGCUCAAUACUGACGCUGAGGCGCGAAAGCGUGGGGAGCAAACAGGAUUAGAUACCCUGGUAGUCC